rnacentral:tRNA from 1 species
CUCUCUGUAGCUCAGUUGGUUAGAGCGCUGCACCGGAAUCACAGGGCCGCAAGUUCGAUUCCUGUCAAAGAGC